CUCUGGGGCCAGGAGGACAGAGCAACUGUACUAAUGCCUGGGUGCCCAGAGUCCCUGGGGCAGGGGCCGCCCAGCUCCUGGGAUUGCCCAGCUCAGCCCCGGGAAGUCUGACUGGGAUGGGCGAAGCCUUAUUCUCGGCCGCGUCAGCCAGGAAGCGGUCCUGAGUUCAGACUCCUUCCCCUUCCUGUGCUCCUGACCGCUCCUGGCGUCCUGGCGCCUGUUCCUGGGACACACCAGCCGUGUCCUGCCUGGGACAAUCACCUGGACUGCGCUUCUGCCUGGAACGCUGCUCCCUCCGUGUCUGGCUGGCCGCUUGCUGAGGUCCCUCUUUGCUGCAAGGCCUCUUUCUCCCUGGAGCCUGUUCUGAUCCCCCAUGCUGUUCCUCCCUUCCCCACUCCUUCCCAUGCCCCUGACUCCUUCUAACACACCACACCAUUGCUUCUUCUUCUUUUUUUAAAAAUCCGUUUGCUCUAAAAAGCAUUUCCUGUGCAACAGUGUGCUGUGUG
rnacentral:lncRNA from 1 species